AUUCUUUUCUGUUUUGAUUCAUCUGUGUUAUGCCUGGGUAUCCAUGCCAUUUUGUGACAUGUGACUACAAACAUGCUGUGGCAUCAGCACAUUACCCCACUGGCA
rfam:Mus musculus chromosome 10, GRC primary reference assembly.